AAAACCAAAUGAUGAAAGUAGAUUGUUUUUAAGGCACCUUUCCUCUGGAAAAUAUAUUAUUACAUGACAUGUAGAAUGUAAUAAGUGAGUUCCCUUGACAUAGUGAGUCUGUCUUAGAAAAAGACUCCAUCUUACGUUUCAGAAGGCCUCAAGCCAAUAGGGUCCAGAUGUUUGCCUAGUCAGUAGAGAUAAUACCAAAUCAGAUAAGGGUGUAACCCUUUACUAUCAAUUCUCACCAGAGGACUCAAGGUUCAUAAAAUGAGCAGAAAUUCAGCAGGUAGACAUGGCCUUCUUGAUAGCCCCUGUCUUUUCAUCAUUCAUGAUCAGCAGCACCUCACAUCUGGCGCUGAAGACUCUGCCUAAAUCAAGGAUUCUUCUUUGCAAGACGUUGAUGACUGUCUGGAUCAGUUUCUAAUUCCAGCAAUAGUCUUAAAUUGGGGCUCAAGGAACAAAGCAAGAAGGUCCUCUAAGAAUCUCAGAAGAAUUCAUACCAAAGAACUUAACCUGAGGCUACCUCUUCAGCUGGAUAGCUUGUAGACUUGUUGGAUCCCAGCUGUCUUAUAUGUGCUGUGCAAUUUCUCCAAACAGAGCAAGUGACCAGUCACCACAGCAGCCUCAAGCCCCAAAUUUCAAAAUUUUCCGUGGAAAAUUAAGGUUGCUAUUUGAAACAAAGAGAAUGAAGCCAAGCAAAGUAAAUAACAAAAAAAUCACAGGAGAAACCAAAGAUGUUUUGGCAUCAACUAAACUUGGAUUGUAACAUUGACUCUGCCACUUUCUAGUUGUAAUGAGCUUCAAUUUUUGUCUUCUUAUAAAAUGAGGAUAAUAUUCCACACUUCACAGAGUUAUUGUAAGAAUCCAUUUAAGUAAAUGAAGUAACUGACAUGAAAACUGAUUAUGUAACUUGCCUAAAGUCUUCCAACUAGGAAUGAUGCUGCAUAUAUUUAAAUCUCUGUCUGUGACACUAAGGCUGAGAGAAGUGAGAAAGCUGUAGAAGAAAAAAUUGAAGCAAGCAGAUGUUGCUCCGUGAGGUUUAAGUAAAGAGACCACCAUAUCCAUAACAUAAAAAUGCAAGGCAAAGCAGCAAGUGUUGGGGUAGAAGCUGAAGUGAGUUAUCAAGAAGAUCUAGUUAUGAUACGAUCUGUGGACCCUAUGGCUGGCAGCAGAUGAAAGUGUGAAGUCCAGAGCUUCAAAUCAUGUCAGAUGAAGAAUCAACAGUGCAAGCUUUUGUAGAAUGGGUGAUAACUUUCAGGGUCUUGCUCUGUCGUCCAGGCUGAAGUGCACUGGCAUGAUCUCAGCUCAUUGCAACCUCCACCUUCUGGGCUCAAGCAAUCCUCUUACCUUAGCCUCUGGAGUAACUGAGACCACAAGCAUGCACCACCAUACCAGGUAAGAAGAAAAAGUUAGCACUACAAUGCUAUAGUCACAUUUAUGUUUUUGUUUUCACACGCACUUCAUAUCUAAGACUCAGUGUGCCUCACCAAGAAACAAAGAAUUUGCUCUAUCCUCAACGUUGCAAAAUGUCUGGGCAUAGGCUGUGUUGCAUUUCUCACAUACAGUAUGAGCAGAGAAGCUUACCCAUUCUGUUGCAGCAGGUCCAUAGAAGUUUCACUGAAGUGCUUUGGUUUUUAUUGAAUUGCAUGCUUAUUAUGUCUGGACAAGAAGAUGUGUACAUGAAGAGGAUGUUUUGAUAGGCCUGACCUGAGAGCUGUAUGCUCACAAUAAAAGCUAGAGACACAGUCAUUUGACAUUAAAACAACUGAGAAAAGAUGAUGAAUCUUGAGAAGAAAUUGGGAUAUUAUGUACAAAAGAGGUGUUAUAAUACUUUAUGGCCAAAACGAAAACAAAAGAAAAAAAAACAAGAAAACAAACAAAAUCAAAAAACAAAAAAACUAGCAAUGUUCCACCAUAAAGUUUAAAUGGAUCUUACUUUGGUUCAGACUUUAGAAACUGAUUGACAUCUGGGUUAUGUAUAUUUCACUUCCCACGUUCUGCACGGUAAUCUUCUAAACUUUAGCAACUUACCUUAUUAAUUCCUUUAGGCUUGAUAUGAAGCCUGCCCCAGAUAAGUGCCUCAUAAAAGAAGAAUAAACAAAUGAAUGAAUAAAAGCAAAUGCCAUACUAUAGACUUUUGAGUAAAAAGAUUUUCUCUACAACAUAUUAAAAGAAUGAACCAGCAGAACAAACUUCAAACUUUAAAACAAUGUUGUUUAAGUUAGUCAUGUCUGAGAUGAUAAAUAAAUCAACAGGAGAAAAGUGAACUUCAAAACAUGUAUCUUUAGGAGGAUUUGAAUUGGAAAACCACUGACACUUAAUUGCUAAAGUGACUUUGACUAGUUAUUCAUCUAUGGAAUAGGAAGAAAACUUACUUGAUCGUGUUGGCAUGAUGAUUAAAUAUGACUUAUGUACAUGCAAGUGCUGAGCACUAGUCUAUAACCUCUAUGGGCAUUGCGAUCACUAUGACAUAUCCAGAGACUAGCUCAAUUUCUAGUACAUUGGAGGCACUUGAUAAAUGUUUCCUUAAUUUGAAAUCUGAGAACAGGACAUUAAGGUGAGUUAUCCUGUUUUCUUUCUUUUCUCCCCACUUCACCUCUAGAGUGUGUGUGUGUGCACGUGUGUGUGCAUGCACAUAUGUGUGUGUUAGAGAGAGAGUGAGAGAGAAAGAGGUGGGGGUGGGGUGUUAUUUAGGGUCAAAAUACAAAGUAGUAACAAUUAGUUGUCCUUUCAAAGAAAAUAUUAUUCAAACUUCAUUCUGAUUUAUAAAUAAGCACAUGUCACGUACGUCAGGAAUCCAUCACAUUUUACUGAGUAUUUAAAAUUUCAUUUGUUUUUGCUCUUAGUUCUUUCACAUUAGAUCCAGUAGUUGAGAUACAUUUUGCUUGUGCUGCAGUUUUCUAUUAUGGAUAUGUAAUGUGUCUAAUAAAGAAAUGAGAAACUAAAAUUGUUGCUUUUUCCUCCUGCCCCUCAUUUCUUUUUCUCAUGCUGUGAGAAAGGUCUUCUGUUUAUUAUAUAAUUCUUCAAAGGAAAAAGUUGUCUAUGUAUUAAUUAUGCAGUAACAUAAGAGGAAUUUUUUAUGAUUUUUAAAAUUUCCUUAGAUUUUGGGGGAACAGGUGGUGUUUGGUUCAUGAGUAAGUUCUUUAGUGGUGAUUUGUGAGAUUUUGGUGCACCCAUCACCCGAGAAGUAUUCACUGUACCCAAUUUGUAGACUUUUACCCCUCACCCCACUCCCAACCUUUCCCCCAAGUUCCCAAAGUCCAUUGUAUCAUUUUUACACUUUUGCAUCCUCAUUGCUUAGCUCCCACUUAUGAGUGAGAACAUACGAUAUUUGGUUUUCCAUUUCUGGGUUACUUUACUUAGAAUAAUGGUCUCCAAUUCCAUUCAGGUUGCUGUGAAUGCCAUAAUUUCA